rnacentral:rRNA from 1 species
AACGAACGCUGGCGGCAUGCCUAACACAUGCAAGUCGAACGAGACCUUCGGGUCUAGUGGCGCACGGGUGCGUAACGCGUGGGAAUCUGCCCUAGGGUGCGGAAUAACUCGGAGAAAUCCGUGCUAAUACCGCAUAAUGUCUUCGGACCAAAGAUUUAUUGCCCUGGGAUGAGCCCGCGUAGGAUUAGCUAGUUGGUGGGGUAAAGGCCUACCAAGGCGACGAUCCUUAGCUGGUCUGAGAGGAUGAUCAGCCACACUGGGACUGAGACACGGCCCAGACUCCUACGGGAGGCAGCAGUGGGGAAUAUUGGACAAUGGGCGAAAGCCUGAUCCAGCAAUGCCGCGUGAGUGAUGAAGGCCCUAGGGUUGUAAAGCUCUUUUACCCGGGACUGAUAAUGACAGUACCGGGAGAAUAAGACUCCGGCUAACUCCGUG